UAUUGAAAAAAAAAACUUUUAAAGAAACAAUGCUUUUGACGUUUGAAUAAUGUGAACAUUACCCUCUGAAAAGAGAAAAAAAAACUAAUAUAACGGAUAAUAAAAGGUGCGUGCGUGCGCGGAGAUGAACGUCGCGGAUAGAAUAGGGAAUUCAGUUUGAGGUGGACAGUUAAUUCGUGUGGAUCGAGACGGAUGGUGGCCGGUAACGCCAUCUGGCGUCGUAUUUGGCGCACGCGCAGUCAGUGAGCUGUCAAAAUGGCGACGGUAAAACCUCGUAAACGUCAGUGAGCGCGUUCAGCGCCCGUUCCCGGCUGAAAUGGACCACAAAAAGAGUCCAAUACGUCGAGCGAAACGACAGGCGAAGCUCGUCGAAGACAACUUUUGGGACUGCAGCGUGUGCACGUACAGGAACGGCGCGGAGGCGUUCAAAUGUCUUAUGUGCGACGUACGAAAGGGAACGUCAACCAGGAAGCCCCGCAUCAAUCCCCAAUUGGUGGCCCAGCAGGUCGCUAGCCAAUUCCUGCCAGCGCCCAGCAAGGAAAAGCGCGAACGAAAAGACGGUAAAAAAUCGACUGCGAAAAGGCGACACCCGCCCCGACUCAAGAACGUCGAUCGAAGUACCGCGCAAACCCGCGAGGUUACUGUUAAUAGUGUUACCGUUGUGAUCACAGAGUACAAACCGAAGAUGAAGAGCGCGGAAACGAUAUCCAGCUCCAGUGGGUCGGAUCACGGUUCUCAGUCCGAAUCGAGUAUGGACGCGCCCCGAUAAUAUUCAUUUCGUAUUCAAAAACCCCAACUUCAUUCACCCCCGCGCGUACUUCAUAUGACGUCUAACGUUUACGUUUUCGCUGUGGUUCGUUACGUUUCCGGCACGUUUACUUCCUUACCACGGUGGAAUUAAAAUGCCGGUAACGUAAACGAAUGGUUGUAGGAUACAGAAGAAAUCGAAGAAUAAAAAAAAGUAACAAUAACGUAUCGUAUACAUAGGCACCACCAGCACCAACAACCAACAGCAGAACCAAAGUCGACAACAGCAGCGACGGUGGUAUAACGUGCGGGGUGAACAAACCGCGCGUCCAUAGGACAUUGACUUUCGCGUCGCGUCGCGUCGCCGGCGUCGCGCUCGCGUUUUGCGAAAACGCCCGAAUCGAUGAUUUCGUUUGUUCCACUGCCUCCGAUCGCGUUUUUCCGGUAGCGCGCGCAACUCAUCCUACUGCCAGAGCGACGUGUGUCCGGUCGGCGAUCUUCUCCGCUCUCCGUAAUAACAAUUAAGGCUUUAAUAAAAUGCACACAUACAUAUGAUAAAAGACCGUGGUCGCGUUCCAAAUAAUAACAACAAAAAUUCUCGAAAAAAAGACUGUAAAGGUGUGCCCACACAUUGCGCGGCAUGCCUCGCGAUUUCCGACGUGAUCGCGCGAGGCAUAUUUGCCUCGCGCAAACAUUUUUUGAUAUGUCCAAAAUUGCUGCUGCGAACUCCGCGUAAUGUGUGGACACACCUUUAGAUUAUUAUUAUUAUUUAUAUUUAAUUUUAUUAUAUCCAUCGAUAUAUACAUGCGAGGUAGAGAAAAAUCUUGUAAAUGUGUAAUUAAGUCAUUAUUUAUAUCGCAUCAAUUUUUUUUUUUCGAUAUUAAUUAAUUUCGGCGUGUAUAGAAACUAUUAUUAUUAUUAUUAUGUAUCUGUAA